rnacentral:rRNA from 1 species
GACGAACGCUGGCGGCGUGCUUAACACAUGCAAGUCGAACGGAAAGGCCCUGCUUGCAGGGUACUCGAGUGGCGAACGGGGGAGUAAUACGUGGGUGAUCUGCCCUCCACUUCGGGAUAAGCCUGGGAAACUGGGGCUAAUACCGGAUAGGAGCCAUUUUUAGGGAGAGGGUUGGAAAGAUUUUUCGGUGUAGGAUGAGCUCGCGGCCUAUCAGCUUGUUGGUGGGGUAAUGGCCUACCAAGGCGGCGACGGGUAGCCGGCCUGAGAGGGUGGCCGGCCACCAUGGGACUGGGAACCGGCCCCGCCUCCUACGGGGGGCAGCAGUGGGGAAUUUUGCACAAUGGGCGCCAGCCUGAUGCAGCGACGCCGCGGGGGGGAUUACCGCCUUCCGGUUGUAAACUCCUUUCGCUAGGGACGAAGCUUUUUGUGACGGUACCUAGAUAAGAAGCACCGGCUAACUACGUG